GAUGAACGCUGGCGGCGUGCCUAAUACAUGCAAGUCGAGCGAACAGAUAAGGAGCUUGCUCCUUUGACGUUAGCGGCGGACGGGUGAGUAACACGUGGGUAACCUACCUAUAAGACUGGAAUAACUCCGGGAAACCGGGGCUAAUGCCGGAUAACAUGUUGAACCGCAUGGUUCUACAGUGAAAGGCGGCUUUGCUGUCACUUAUAGAUGGACCCGCGCCGUAUUAGCUAGUUGGUGAGGUAACGGCUCACCAAGGCAACGAUACGUAGCCGACCUGAGAGGGUGAUCGGCCACACUGGAACUCAGACACGGUCCAGACUCCUACGGGAGGCAGCAGUAGGGAAUCUUCCGCAAUGGGCGAAAGCCUGACGGAGCAACGCCGCGUGAGUGAUGAAGGUCUUCGGAUCGUAAAACUCUGUUAUUAGGGAAGAACAAAUGCGUAAGUAACUGUGCGCGUCUUGACGGUACCUAAUCAGAAAGCCACGGCUAACUACGUG
rnacentral:rRNA from 1 species